AGUACCACGGGACACGUGAAACCCUGUGGGAAGCAGGAGGGACCACCCUCCAAGGCUAAAUACUACCUAGUGACCGAUAGCGUAUAGUACCGUGAGGGAAAGGUGAAAAGAACCCCGGGAGGGGAGUGAAAUAGAACCUGAAACCCUGCACUUACAAGCUGUGGAAGCACAGUUCUUGUGUGACCGCGUACUUGUUGUAGAACGGGCCAACGAGUUACGUUAAGUAGCAAGGUUAAGCACUUAAGGUGUGGAGCCGUAGCGAAAGCGAGUUGUAACUGAGCGUUCAGUUACUGGACGUAUACCCGAAACCGGGCGACCUAC
rnacentral:rRNA from 1 species